CAGUAGCCACGGUAAUACGUAGGGUGCGAGCGUUAAUCGGAAUUACUGGGCGUAAAGCGUGCGCAGGCGGUUAUAUAAGACAGAUGUGAAAUCCCCGGGCUCAACCUGGGAACUGCAUUUGAAACUGGCAAGCUAGAGUCUUGUAGAGGGGGGUAGAAUUCCAGGUGUAGCGGUGAAAUGCGUAGAGAUCUGGAGGAAUACCGGUGGCGAAGGCGGCCCCCUGGACAAAGACUGACGCUCAGGUGCGAAAGCGUGGGGAGCAAACAGGAUUAGAUACCCGUGUAGUCCCUGUCUCUUAUAC
rnacentral:rRNA from 1 species